rnacentral:rRNA from 1 species
UGGGGAAUAUUGCACAAUGGGCGCAAGCCUGAUGCAGCCAUGCCGCGUGUAUGAAGAAGGCCUUCGGGUUGUAAAGUACUUUCAGCGAGGAGGAAGGCGUUGUGGUUAAUAACCGCAACGAUUGACGUUACUCGCAGAAGAAGCACAGGCUAACUCCGUGCCAGCAGCCGCGGUAAUACGGAGGGUGCAAGCGUUAAUCGGAAUUACUGGGCGUAAAGCGCACGCAGGCGGUCUGUCAAGUCGGAUGUGAAAUCCCCGGGCUCAACCUGGGAACUGCAUCCGAAACUGGCAGGCUAGAGUCUUGUAGAGGGGGGUAGAAUUCCAGGUGUAGCGGUGAAAUGCGUAGAGAUCUGGAGGAAUACCGGUGGCGAAGGCGGCCCCCUGGACAAAGACUGACGCUCAGGUGCGAAAGCGUGGGGAGCAAACA